rnacentral:rRNA from 1 species
AGUGAACGCUGGCGGUAGGCCUAACGCAUGCAAGUCGAACGGCAGCACAGUAAGAGCUUGCUCUUACGGGUGGCGAGUGGCGGACGGGUGAGGAAUACAUCGGAAUCUACUUUUUCGUGGGGGAUAACGUAGGGAAACUUACGCUAAUACCGCAUACGACCUACGGGUGAAAGCAGGGGAUCUUCGGACCUUGCGCGGUUGAAUGAGCCGAUGUCGGAUUAGCUAGUUGGCGGGGUAAAGGCCCACCAAGGCGACGAUCCGUAGCUGGUCUGAGAGGAUGAUCAGCCACACUGGAACUGAGACACGGUCCAGACUCCUACGGGAGGCAGCAGUGGGGAAUAUUGGACAAUGGGCGCAAGCCUGAUCCAGCCAUACCGCGUGGGUGAAGAAGGCCUUCGGGUUGUAAAGCCCUUUUGUUGGGAAAGAAAAGCAGCAGGUUAAUACCCCGCUGUUCUGACGGUACCCAAAGAAUAAGCACCGGCUAACUUCGUG